AAUAGAUACCCCGGUAGUCCACGCCGUAAACGAUGUCGACUUGGAGGUUGUUCCCUUGAGGAGUGGCUUCCGGAGCUAACGCGUUAAGUCGACCGUCUGGGGAGUACGGCCGCAAGGUUAAAACUCAAAUGAAUUGACGGGGGCCCGCACAAGCGGUGGAGCAUGUGGUUUAAUUCGAUGCAACGCGAAGAACCUUACCUACUCUUGACAUCCAGAGAACUUAGCAGAGAUGCUUUGGUGCCUUCGGGAACUCUGAGACAGGUGCUGCAUGGCUGUCGUCAGCUCGUGUUGUGAAAUGUUGGGUUAAGUCCCGCAACGAGCGCAACCCUUAUCCUUUGUUGCCAGCGGUUCGGCCGGGAACUCAAAGGAGACUGCCAGUGAUAAACUGGAGGAAGGUGGGGAUGACGUCAAGUCAUCAUGGCCCUUACGAGUAGGGCUACACACGUGCUACAAUGGCGUAUACAAAGAGAAGCGACCUCGCGAGAGCAAGCGGACCUCAUAAAGUACGUCGUAGUCCGGAUUGGAGU
rnacentral:rRNA from 1 species